rnacentral:rRNA from 1 species
AAUCAACGCUGGCGGCGUGCCUAACACAUGCAAGUCGAACGCGAAAGGGACUUCGGUUCUUAGUAGAGUGGCGUACGGGUGAGUAACGCGUGGGUCAUCUGCCCUCGGGUGGGGAAUAACUAACCGAAAGGUUAGCUAAUACCGCAUAACACAGUGAUGUCAAAGCAGCAACGUGCCCGAGGAGGAGCCUGCGUCUGAUUAGGUAGUUGGUGGGGUAACGGCCUACCAAGCCUGCGAUCAGUAGCUGGUCUGAGAGGACGGCCAGUAACAAUGGCACUGAAACACGGGCCAUACUCCUACGGGAGGCAGCAGUGGGGAAUUUUGCGCAAUGGGCGAAAGCCUGACGCAGCAACGCCGCGUGAGGGAUGAAAUAUUUCGGUAUGUAAACCUCGCAAAUAUGGGAAGAACACAAUGACGGUACCAUAUGUAAGCCACGGCUAACUUCGUGCCAGCCGCCGCUGUAAAAC